rnacentral:ncRNA from 1 species
GUUCGUAUUGCGCGGCGUGUAGUUCACGAAAACAAAGCCGCGACAUUGGUCGAUGAUAUGGAACAGCGGGUUCCACAGGAACAGCGGCAGCAUCAUCGCGGGCAGUGAAUUCGCGAGGAACAUCUUGCCAGACGCGAUCAUGUUGAUGCGUUG